ensembl:lncRNA
CACCAAAUCAGAUACAGAAACCUUUUUAAAAAGAUUACAUUUUCAUGAACUGAUUUUAGGAAAGACUGGCUUUCGUUUAACCAGAAGCUCCAGGAGCCGGUUGUGGGCUCUGGGCGGCUGUGCCAGCCCCACAAGAGGUCAGGGGUGGCAACAGGCUCUUCUUCCCCAGGGAACUGUGAUGGCUUAGGGCACCGAGCUGGCGCUGGGGCUUCUCUGGUUUCUUCAUGGUGCCCAGCAGCGCUGCUGACUUGACCCAUUAACAGCGCUUCAGCACAACAUGUUCCAGAUUUCACUGAUUCCUCAGACUCGUGCUCCUUUGAGAUAAUGGAAGUGCAGCCUUAUUAGCCUCAACUUAGGAACCUCAGUUUCUCCAUCUGUACAAUAAUAGUAAAAGUAACCAUCCUUCUGCCUUUUCAGUGUGGAUGUAAGGGUCACAUAAGAAGGAGAAUGUGAAAACAUGGUGUAGAUGGGGACACAUUAGAUCAGUGAGAGGGAUUUGGGGGUCAGUAAUUAUUUUCAUGGGGAGCAUCUUAAUGGGAUGGCUUGGUUGGGGAUUUCAUUUCCAGCACUGAACGUGAAACAUUCAGUAAAUAUCAACGGUGUGCAGGUUUAUCCGCAGUCGGGUUCAAGUAAAGGAUUGUGGUCGUACUAACAGAGAACACGUGAUGCCCAGGAGCCUGGAAAUCUGCGCUCUCCUUCUGCAUCUGACACUCUCUUGCCCUGUGACUUUGAGCUAGUUAUUUCCAUCCUGUGAACCUCAGUCUUCUCAUCUGAUCUCUGGGGACUUUCCAAGCUCUAAAUUAGUAAUUCUGAUGCUGCAGAAUCCAGAAUCCCAGCAUGAGGUGAGAUCGGGGUUGGUUCAGAGGUACGUCCACCCUGAGACCCUCUGAGGCCCUUUCUAGCUUCCCCUGCCCUGCCUGUGUCAGUGUUUCCCCAGUGAUUUUCUCUAGCCUCUCAGGGGUAUAUUCCUCUGACUCAGAACCUUCUGGAGCCCCUGGGAGCAGCCAAGUUAAGGGUCUCAGGGCAGGGCUGAAAUGCCACCUCUGUCUCAAGCUGAGUGGGAAGGUUGCUGCCCACCAAGAGCAUGAUGGAGGGAUGUCAAGGCAACAUCCUCGACUUCAUCAAAGCAGUUCCAAGGGUCCACAAACAGGUGCUGGCUUGUUAAGAGAAACAAUUUCUAUGUUUUCCCACUCUGACCACAUUAGUCAUUCAAGUGCUGAGGAACCAUAUAAAUUCCUGUCAUCCUGGUUUAUGUGGCCACUAAGAUUUAUUCCAAGCGACAGGUCAUUAAGGUUUCUUCUCUUUAUUUUUUUCUCGGAUUCACUGAAAACUCAUAUUUCUGCUCCAUGUUAUGGACUGCUAACAGCUAUGGUUUGGGUCAGGAAGUCAGCAAUAAAUCUGAAUUUAAUAAACUGACAAAGAUUGCUAUCCCAGAGACAGUCUGAGCCCCUGUUCUUCGUCUCCUUUUAUACAGACACUUUCAUGUUGAGACACCUUCCACAUAAGAGGCACCUUGCCAUCUAGCUAUUUGCCUCCCCCAGUAGAUGUUUUGCUGGACUGAAGUGACCGUAUAAUUACAGAUUGCUAGAGUCAGAAGACCGAGUCCCACCUGUGGUGGGGGGGGGGGGGGGGGGGGGAGAAUCUGAACUUCAGGACCCUCCAGUCCCAGACUGUGUGCCUUAGCAUGUCAUCAAAUCUGAGCCUCGGUGUCUUCACUGCAGAAUGGAGAGCAUCAUCUUCAUCCUUUCUACUUCUCAGAGCUACUGGGAAGGUAAAAUUCAAGCGAGGGCAGAUGGGAACCAUGAAGCUCCAUGUGGCUGGGGCCGAUUGUGACUGCUUUGUCAGUUUUAAAUUUUCAGCAUGUUAGAGCUAAGGGCAUCUUAGAUUCUUCACUUUUCAGUAGAAAAACUGAGUUAGCAGCAAAGGAUAUCUCCCCCAGGGCAUCCGACUCUCCUUUCUGGAGUUCUUUCAGUUAAACCACACUGCUCCCCAAGUCUCAGGCGCUGAUGGUAGGUGCCGGGUUUAGGGGAGCAGUUCUCUGAGGUUUUCUGGGAAGCCUCACCCGCUGCAGACUGCUCGGCCGCAGGGAGGCUCUGGGAACUUGUUGGCUGGGACGAGAGUUAGCACCACCCUGCCUUCGUCCACUCCCAGUCCAGCUGUGAUUGCCUUAAGGGCAGUUCUUACAUAGAAGAGGCAGAUAGGAAUGACUAUUUGAGAGAAGUCCAAAUUAAUCCAUGCGGGCUGACGUUCUGCUUAAACUCCAGAGAGCAUCCUGGUGGCUGGGAUGCAUCUCUCCUAAGACCUUAGCAUCCCUUCCAGAAGGUAGCAAAGCUAUCCUAGGAGAUGAAGGUCCAAUCUCUUUCUUACUGGGGCUUUCAAAUGCACCCCCAGAACCUGAGCAACUCCACUCCCCAAAAUUGUGGAGCAGAAAAAGAACUCUUGGAAGAUUAGCAUGCCAACAAAUACAUCAAACUCAUAAACUUCUGUCUCCCAACCCUCUAUAAACUGCUCUCUUCAAGCCCUCCAUAAACUCCUGUCUGGGUCUGUAAAUAACGACCAUAUAAGGGUUUUUCCAGUAAACACUGGAGGCAGACAUGCACGGACAUUUCCAAGAGCUUAUUUGUGACCAGGUAUCGACGAAAAUAAUCCAUAAUCAAUCUAUAAAUGAAAAUUUGGGUGAGUUUAUUCUGAGCUGAAAUCUGAGGACCAUGGCCCGGGGCCUUUCUUCCCAAAGGAAGAAAGGGCACCAAAGAAGUGAGGUAUACAGAGUGGUUAUAUAGCCCCAACGAGGAUGCUUUACAUAUGAUUGAAAUGUCCCUCCCACAAUAGUCACAAGAUUGCCCCGUCGGCACAGCACAGCGCUUGAUGGACACAGCAGGUAGUGGGUCUGCUAUCUCAGUGGGCAGCAGGAGGCAAGUCUAUUGUCUCGAGCUGGGUGGUCACAGGUGAACACUGCAAUCAGUUCCUAGCCUAAGGAAAGAUGCUUAAUCCUUAAGGGAAUGCCAACACUGGGAAGGGGAGGGAAGUUGCACCUUUAUCUCAAGGGCCUUUGUUCUUGCCAUAGGGAACGUCUAAGGCAGAUAUACAAUGCAUGCUCAACAGCCACGGUCAGGCCCUUUUGGAAAGACAAGGUCAGGCCGAAUUAGGUUUACACCAAAUGGCUUCCUCAUAUUCUCCAAUAUAUCCUAUUGCUUGCCAUUUUUAUUUGUGACCAGGUGAGCAAAGCUUAUUAAAGUUAUCCUGUGUGCUCUGCCACCCUUUUUACAGUUUCAUACCUCAGCCAUAAACACCCAACAAUUUUUAUUUACCAGCUCUUUCCCUACAUGUUUCUGUAGUUUCCAACCAAAACUUGAUGCAAAUGGUGGGAAAAUUAAUCCUAUUGACUAAAAUUAGAAAGUUCUAAAAAUAGAGCUGUUUCAAAAAAUAGUAUGGGCUGCUCUGAGCAAUAGUGAGUCUCCCAUCACUGGAGGUAUGUAAGCAGAGUCUGGAAAACUACCUGCUUAACGGUCUAAAGAGGAAUUCCUGAAAUAGGCUGGGCAAUUGGGUUAGACAACCUACAAGUCAGAAAUUCUGGGAAUCAAAUAUGUCUGUUCCCCAAAGCUCUUCUGAAGGCUCGGUCUGUGCAGGCUGUGCCCUGGGGAGAGACAAAGUACACCCAGCCCCUGUUAGCCCUCGGUGAGAUCCCAGCUUCGUGAGAAGACAGACAAGCCAGCAACUAACUCAAGUGCAGGCAAAACGGUGCAGGUGUUGGAGAGAGGUGACCAACAGCCAGCUGUGAGUUUGCAGAGGUGGCUGAUAUGACGGACCCCCUGGGACUGGAGAAAGUUUCCCACAGCUGCGUCCUUGUUUGGAGGGCUCUGGCUGUGGGAAG